AUUGCGGGUUUGUGGGAUUUUUUUUUUUUUUUUUUGGUGAAGAUUUGUUUUUUCUGGAAAAACACAUUCCUCAUUCUAAUUACAUUAAUAGCCUAAACGCUUGCCCCUCCAGCCCGUGCAGGUCUGAAAAAGAGCAGAUCUCUUAACGUUCUUUCCUUGCACAUAAAGUCCUCGUUUAAACCUUUGUUAGGAAGUCGGAGCAGUAAGCAGGAUGACAGUCUCAGUGAUUGAUUUUAAACAGAAUAACUUAAUUUCGAGCGCAUGAACCCUUUGUUAAUCUGUAAUUUAAACCAUGGACUUUGUUAAUGUCCAUUGUAAAACUGAGCUCCGUUCUCCCCCCGAGGAGGUAAAUAUUUGCUUUAUGUUGUAUUUCUUUGAUUAUUUCAAGAUACAUAGCAGAAAAUCAGUCUCCACCAGUAAAUUUUGGGAUGUCAGUAUCUGCCUUCAUGAGGGAGUGAAGAGUGGUUCUUUAAUUGGUACCUUGUUUUGAGCCAAGUCCAAAUGCAACAGGUUUUUAAAUGAAUGUCAGGUGACUAUCUCAGCGUUAAGUAAUGCAUAAAUACUUACACAUAGGAGAAUGACAGGAAAAUAUUUCUUUGUAAUCUGAGUAUCCACUGUAGAAGAAUAUAUCAUGCCUUAAUAUGAAGUAUUUAAACAUUUAUGUGUUUGUCUGUGAAUUCAAAGUAUAGAAACAACUUCGGUCCAGAAAGUGGUAAGUGAUUUGAAUAUAUGAUCCAGGAUGAAUUGUUACUCAGACUGUCCCUCACUCAAGCCCAGGCACAGACCAAGGAAUCAGAUGACCCCGUGAUCAAUAUCCUGACAUGAUCUCAAUUUAUGUUAUUAGGCACUUAUAUCUUAAAACCACGUCACUACAGACCAAGUGGUAAUUGAAAGUCAAAUUACAGAUGUUCGGCUUUCAGAUGGUGAUUUAGAACUCGUUUUAUUAUUGUGUUCUUUUUUUAUUGGAAGGAUUUGAGCCUUUUAUCCAUGCCAUAAGCCCCAAUAUGUUUCUAGAAUUAAGGAUUCCAAAUAAAUAGGAAAUUUGUCUUCUCCUAAGCCCUCGUGGGACUUUUUAGAAGAAGGGUACUAACCAGUUCUUGAAACAAUUAUCGUCUUCUCUGCUUUGCUCUUUGUGGACAUCUUAUUCUGAGGAACUCCUGCUGUUAUCCCACUCGUUAGAAUUUCAUCAUGCCAGGGAACUGGAUGCCUUCUGCAGUCCUUUUCCCCCCAUGGCUAAUUCGUAGAUGUGUCUUUGGAGAUAUGACCUUCAGUCCAGGCAUCUAAAUUACAUUCCUCCGUGUAUAUACAAUUCGUAAUGAAAACGGUAAAAGGCUGGAUGACAGAGAAUUGGCAAAACCACAUAUUUUGAAAGACAGAGCCACCGUUUUUUUCUACUGAUCCAAAUAGAUGCCUUGACAUGCAAACGUUCUGGUUUCUGAGCAGUAACCUAACUCUCUGGGACGCCAUGAGUGGGAAGAUGUGGAUUAUCUACAGAGGGUCACAAAAUGCCUCUAAAACCUUGCGGUCAGUUAAGACUGCCGUCCCCGCAGCGCCAAGUCACCCGGGGACUGUCUCUCGUGACGUCACGCACGUAGCCCUCCAGAUUUCUGCCUACACAGCUCAAAAGGACCUAGAACUUCGAACCCGUUUAUCACCUAAUGGUUAGCAUUGCCUACGGAGUUCGUGAGAGACAUAAUUUAGGGUAUAUUUCCAGUUCGGAUAGAUAUUUAGUCCUGCAAGAAACAUUGCACUUGCUAAGAUUACUGGCAAUUUGCCCCAAAUCGAGCGAUGCCUAUAAACCAUAGGGCUGUUUUAAUUACCGGGGCCUGUGUCUUACACAUUUCCAGAGCUGCAUCUACUGUUAAAAUACCACAUGCCCCAGUUCACUUUGUGCAAAGACCUAUCUUCUGGAAGGUUUGUGUCUGGGGUUGGCCUAGAAAGUUCUCUGAAACUCCAGAGGUGAACCUCUAUGGAACCGAGAGUAUAUCCCAGAGCAACGAGGUCGUUUUUGGUUUUGCCCCCUUGAUAUUUUUCUCGGGCAUUCUGCUGCCGGGAUUUUCUGGUUAAUCAAGCAUGAUAUUUUCCAGCGUGUGGUCUGACAUGCUGGACGUUUCACCAGAAGAGAAAUGAACCUUGACGGUGCCGUGUGACUCCCCCAGUUACUUGGUGUUCUUUCGUGUUAGAUCCAUCGACUAGGACUUAGAAGCAAAAUUAUGAUUUGAGCAAAAACAAACUCCAAGGAGGUCUCCCACUAAGUCAUUAGGCCGCAACCUCCACAGCGCCACGAUGGGGAGCUUUUUCGUAAGACUUCAAGACCCUGCUUUCAGCCCUUUUUUUCAGGGAAGUUCACACGCACUCAUCUCUCGCUUGACUUUGGUAUCUCACCGCUGGCUCUUUUGUCUCAUGACAUUGGCAUGCUGUCUCCUGGAAAACGUCUGUGGCUGAGAGCCUUGCUCGUCCCCUUCCAGCCCUGUGGCUCAACGCUGCCUUCUUCCGUAGGACUGGUCUUCCAGAUCCUGGGCCGACAGCGCUGAGAAAGAGCAUCAGCCGGCGCCGAGCAGACGAGCAGACGGUCCAGAUCGUCCGCCUCUGCUCUGACCGCUCACCCGGCAGAGGAGCCCAGUGAGGAGAAAGGCACACGCCGUCUCCUCCGCGGCCCCUGGGGUAUUUGUUUGCAAACCCAUCCCUCACGAUUAAGAGAUGCUCUUGCAUUUGCUUCCAUUCCUGGGAGAAUAUCCACUGCAGUGAGUCCUUCAAUUCAGAAGAUUCCUUAGACACAAUGUACCUGAAAAAAAAAGGGGGUGUUCCCCUUGAUUGUAGGGGCCUUAGGAGACCAGAAUAUCAGGCUCACUUCUCUUCCCUCUCGAUUUUGUGGUGCUAAUGGCAGUACGCUCAUUACUUGAUAAGGAGGAUGGAAAGGUUGGAACAACAGGUGCAUACUUCCAUUCUAAACAGCUGUUGGGGAAAAGAAAAAACCGCAUCACAGAGGCGCUUACAUUGAGACAUCAGGAGAAAACUGUUUCUUCUUACCAUCCUAGUAUAGCCACACCAGGGUUAAAGGUUUUAUAAGUUACUACUCGCACAAGAUACUUAAAUCCUUUUCUCUGUGUAGAUGUACUAGGCUAUCUUCUGAGCACACAGGGACCUGCAGUUUUAAACCAGGCUGGCUCUAGGCAGGAAAGAUUCCUGUGAGGCGCUUCGUGGAGUGUAAGCGCCUCCAGCAGAUGCAGCUCCCCAACGCCCCUUGAAAAACCUGUCUUCUAGCAUAUCCCUCUAGGAAGAUAAAGUAUUACAGACAAGUGAAUGCAAAUACUUGAAGCCCUGUGUUCAUUCUACACACUGUGGGUGGCGGCUGGUGGGGGGAGUGUGGGUUUUGUAGGGUGAGAGCUGGAACAGGUAAAUUAGAUGGGGGGAGAGGAAAAGCGAGCACGCCCGGGUCUGGCAGACCCGAGGGCGCAUUUGCUCGGAAGGCUCUGAGGAGCCCACAGCGGCAGGGGCCCAGCCUGAGGUGGGGAUGCUGAGAAGCAAGGGUGGGCACGGGAAGAGGCUCCGACACGACCCGGGAAACAGAUUUCCCCCGCCUCACAGUUUCCCUUGAGAAACAGAGCUCUCUUUUCCUGUUCUCUAAGACCUUAACUUGAAAGGGACUACGCCCCCUUUGCAGCAGCUUUAAUAAGAGGCUGUGGGGGGCAGCGUAAGGCUCAUCAAAGAGGCCCCCGUGCCCAUUCUCAGAACCUGUGGCUACGGGCUGCUCCAUGCAGGAGGGACUUGAGGCUGCUUAUCAGCUGGCCUGCGAAGAAGGGGAUUGUCCUAGAUUGUUCUGAUGGGCCCCACAGGGUCCCCUGCGGGCCCUCAGGUGGAAGGGUCAGUGCCAGAGUGGCAAGGGCUUUCCCGUCUUGCAGGGUUGGAGGGGGCACUGAAGAAGGGAAUAUGGGCGUCCUCCAGAAGGCGAAAAUGCAAAAGCAAAUCAAGGCAGAGCCAGCACAGUCUCAUACGCUCUCCCUGAGAACGUCUAGAAGGAACAGGCCUGCUGGAUUUUAGUCCCGUGAGACUACUUUGGACCUUUGAUCUCUAGCACUAAAUUCGUGUUGUUUUAAGCCACUCAAUUUGUGAUGUUUUGUUACAGUACCAAUAGGAAACUCAGGCAGAGGCUGCUCUUGCCUUUCUUUGAAAGUCUGAAGUGACAGGAGCAUCGCUCCUCUGCAAAGUGAGCAAUUUCUCCCUUGUGAUUCCAUUUUUCUUCUUUCUUUCUCUUUUCUCAUUUCUACUUCCUUUUCUACUUUUCAUUCCCCCCCACUCUUCCCUGAGGUGGUAUUCCCCCCUCUCCUCUUAUCUAUGUCUGUCCCUCCUCCUCCUCUUCCUUCUCAUUCUCCCCCCCCGCCCUUUCUCCAUAGACCAACACAGACAGAGCUGUAGGUCCCUGUUUCACAAACAUGGACACCAAAACCUGCCCCCGACUUCUAGAAAACUAAGACUUGCUCGGUGAUCUGGAAGAUAACUACUAAUGAUUCUGGCCAGGACUUCCGCUCCACAGCCAGUUUUGGAUUAAUCUCUGGAUGGGGUGAGCCCCAAAGGACUGCUUCCUCUUCUUCCCCGUGAAACUCAGGGGAGGAAAUGAGGGCAUAUGCCAGACGCCACCCUGGGCUGGGGCAGAGUCCUCAGACUCACUACCUGUCACAUGCCCUCAGGGCUAAGAAAAAUAAAGGAAAUAAAGUGAAAGAAGGAAGGAAGCAAGAAGGAGGAGAGAGGAAAGAAAGGGGGGAGGGAGGAAGGAGGAAAGAAAAAAGAAAGCAGAUAAAAUGUAAUACGGAGCAGAGUCUCGAUGCUGCGACCAUCGGGGUCUUACUCGGUGAUGGAGCUUUUUCUUCAGAAAAAGGGAGGGAGGGCCUGAGGGUGGUGGUUCUGCUCUGCCCUUGACCUUGGCCUUUGUUUCUUGCUGCCCUUUCUUAGAGAAGGCAGGCUACGUGGCCUUCAGCGGGAUUAGUGGUUUGCCAGCCACUUGGGUCACAGGCCCUCCAGAGAGGCAGGGCCUUGGUUUUGGGUCUGUGACACAGGCAGCGGGACCCUCCCUGGUCCCUUUGCUCCCUACUUUCAACGGGAUGGGAAACACUUGGACGCACCCCUCCUUUCCCCGACCUCUUUCUUUUUCGUUGCAAACGAACCACCUGACAGUCUGUUCAGCUCCUGACCACAGAGGUUGGAGGAGCAGAGUUUUCCUCUUGGUCAUCCGCACGCUUCCUCUCGCCCAGAACUCGUGCGCAAGAGCCCCCCGUGAAGCAAGAUACGCAGCUUCUGAACACACGGCUGACACGCCGAGCGGAAAGAAAUGCAUGUAAAGCGGCCGCAGGAAAAUACCUUUCUUUCCACCCUUUACCUCUUUGUGAACUCUUAAAAAAGAAAUCCAGAUUGCCACAGCAUCUCUUGGUGUGAGACAUGACAAUGUGCAAAACACACAUCUACCCUGACAGCCUCGGAUUUGUGUUUUUAGACUUUUACAAAGAACUUCCUGGCUGCUCUCGAUAGAAGCUUUGAAAUAUGCUGCUAAUGGACAUCAUUGUGUUCUUUGUGCGGGGAGGGUAAAGAAAAUUGUAGCAUCCAUUCGGGGGAGAUUGUUAAAGAUUCACUAUUUUGGGGGGUAGGAAAAUGAACUAUAGUUCCAGGAUUGUCUUUCUAGAUAGCCAAACAUGCUCACAAUAGCAUGGACACGGAUGGGGGCGGGGGGCAGGAGAGAAAUGCAAGGGCCAAAUCUGGAAACAGUGCCCGAUGACUUAGGACCCUGAAUCUCUUCAGCGUGAUUUGGUGACCUAUACAAAUGGGAACAUCUCCCAUUCUUUACAAGUAGGACAGAGUUGGAGAUACCCAAUCAGUGGGGUUUCUACCUCUGGGCCCGUGUUUCCAUCAAACAUUUGUCUGGUUCUCCAGCUUCCUGGGAAAAGCUGAGUGAAAGCAAGUGGGCCCAGCACAGGAACAGAGGUGAUGCUCAGGCUGUGUCCAGUGACUCGUCGCCGGAGUCACUGAAAAAACCCUGGAGAGAUGAGUGACCAAAACUCAUCCUUUCAUGCAGCUACCCUCGUACGACCCAGGAGAUGUGAGGUGGCACAAGCAGCUCAGUGGAUCUCUGUGUGGGUGCAUUUCGGGGGGAAGGAACAGUCAGAGCUAGAAGACGCCCAGCUGGGGGCGGGGUGGGGGGGGAUUCUGCCAGCGGUCAGAGUUAGUACCUUCCAUUUCCUGUGCAAAACGAAGUAGAUUUACUCUACUCAUCCCUUUGCAGUAAAAAAUCUUAUUAUAGUCUUUCCUCUCUCUCUCUCAGGCUAUAUAAUAGAUAUAGUCCAGCAAUGCUGGAAGGUCUCAUGGGUUCAGUGACUGGAGGUAAAUUUGACGCUUAAUAAUAAUAGGAGUGUGCCUCAUGGCUCAGAGGUUCACGAACCCGACUAGGAUCCAUGAGGAUGCGGGUUCGGUCCCUGGCCUCGCUCAGCGGGUUAAGGAUCUGGUGUUGCCGUGACCGGUGGUGUAGGUCACAGAUGUGGCUCGGGUCUGGCGUUGCUGCGGCUGUGGCAUAGACUGGCAGCUGCAGCUCCAGCUCAGCCCCAACUAGCCUGGGAACCUCCAUGUGCCACGGGUGCGGCCCUAAAAAGCAAAAUAGUAGUAGUAGUAAUAUGAAUGUGUUAAAUCCUCAU
ensembl:lncRNA